CUGUGCUAGGUGGGGGGCUAGCGGUCCCCUAUAUCCACAACCCGCUACAGUGGAACCGAAGGGUUCUCCGAGGGGGAAGAAAGCAGGGUCUGCCUUGGAUAAGCGGUGAUGAGGGUUGAGCCCUCUGCGGCGCAUGCCUGUAAACCCCGCCAGGCCCGGAAGGGAGCAGCGGUAAGCAAGCCUCUGCGGGUGUUAGAGGAUCCCUUGGCCUGAGCUGGCUGUCCACAGAAGCGUCUGUUGACUUCUUUCGAAGAGGCCACGCACAG
rnacentral:SRP_RNA from 1 species